GAUUGAAGAUGAAUGAGUGUGAAAUGAUCAUAGAUGGAAAUUUUGUUAUGAGAGGCUUCAUAAACGUUCAUUUUAUUCUCAUUGUAUCGUAGACAUGGUUAUCUAAUUAACUUUUAAACUAGUUUUUGAAUAAUUAUGACAGUACCUGAAUCAAGGGGCUACGUCCUUUUAGUUUAGUAUGAAGACAAUUAAGAUUUUUUGACGUUUUGUGGGGAGAUUCUAGAUAUAAAUCGUUGAAGGACCUCGAAUGAAAAUUUCAAUCGUCAUGCAAAUCUAAAGGAUCUGUCUUUUGGGUAUGCAUCACCAUGUGGAACAUCGUGUUGAUUUUAUGGAAUGGGUUCCAGGUUUGGAUUCAAUGCUUCUACUUUUCGUGCUCUAAAUAAAAUAUAAUCCUGGAACAUAUGUAAUGAUUGAUGAACAUCAUGUUGUAAAUGCAAAACAUUCCAAAUUAUGUGGGUAACUUGAAUCUAAAUUUAACAUAGCUGGCUCGUUUCCUCAGUUGGGAGAAUAUCUCUAGCCCAACCAUUUCUUUCCACAUUUUUGUUCAUUCUGCAGGUUCUGCGAACUUGAACUUUUUUCAUCAUCAUUUGGGCUCUUUAAGAAUAUAGCAACUUGAUUAUUUUAUAAACAGUUCAGUGAAUGGCCUUCUCGGUCAUGUCUGAGGAAGAUGAUCCUUACCCAUCUUGGGAUAAAACAAAAACACCUAUUCGUAUUUUUCUUCAAGGAUGCAAGGUAAAGAAGCUGCUGAAUUUUGUUCUAUUCUGCUUCUAUUUAUAUAUGUAUAUAUUUUCUUUUGACUUUUACUGAUCCUUUAUUUAUUUUCUAAUUUUUUUGUAACCUUAACCGAAUAUAAUUGAUUGUUGAAUACUUCUGAGUAACUCUUGAGCCAAGCCAAUCAGAUUUCGUAUGUAAAUUAGUUAAUUAGCUGUUUGGCAUUUAAGGAUUUAAUUGAUUUUGAUAAUUUAAUGUCAAUUUUUGGAAUGGGUAAUGGAUUAUUGGCUCAAUAUAUUAUGUUGCCUAAGGUGGUUUCUACUUUAUUAUGUUGGUAUUGUUGCUCAACACUUAUUGUUUUUUCCAGUUCUUUUGCAUUUGCGUUGUUUUAAAAAAAAAAUCUUGAAUUUUGAAAGAAGUUGAGAAUGCUGAGAGACAAAAUAACAUAGGAAGAUGCUGAUAUUUUUUUAGCAAGUUUGACUGUACCAAGUUUUUUUGUUAAGUAGCUAAGACAAUAGUGGGUACUGAGAAUUUAUGAAUUUUACUUGUCCACAUGUGCGUGAGCCAUUUCAUUGUUACUACAAGAGAAUCAGACAAGUAUGUCCGUGAACUGCUGCCUCUUUUUAUGGGGUUUGUUUUUUAAGUAUCUUCCUUGUCCAUGAGUAUGAUUAAUAGAUAUUACUCUUCAUGCUAAUUCCUGAGAUUUCUUUAAAUUUUCUUAUGGAGAAGGGUAUUAAUGACAUAAUGUUUCCACUGCCAGGAUUGAAGUUUUUAACUUAUCUUUGGAGGUAAUUGAGUUCUUAGGUCUAUGAUGGUCUCAAUUAGUAUCUGAUAUACAAUUGAUACUCCAAUAUUUCUUUUCUUUACAACUAUUGAAUCAUUGUUUGGAGACUUUGGCGAAUUACCACCGCAGAGAUCAGGCCUUUUACCUAGAUUCACAUUUGAUUAUUCUAAAAAUAGAAUGGUUCUGAUUGAUUAAUAAAUUCCAUUUUGUCUUUCAGCUGCGGCUUUUGUAGUGUUUCAACCAAGGGAGGCAGUCUGUCUGCCAUAAUGAUCUUCAUUGGUCUUCAACUUUUAGAUUUUUUUGUUCGUCUUCAACUUGGUUUGUUUAAAUUUAAAUAUGUUAGAUUAAAGUUUAGGUAAGUUUGAAAUCACGCUAUUUUGAACUCAAAUAAAGUAUGUUAAUUCAGUUUCUAACAUGAUUUUAGCUUGUUGUUUGUAGUUUGUUACUAGCUUGAGCUAAUGAACUAAGGAGAAUUAUUGGUUUUAGUUGAUUUUGGAUAAUAUUAUUGCUCCUAAACAUUCUCUUAAUAUAUGUUGAUUAAGUUAUUUGAAUUAUAUAUUGUAAACAUUGUGUUUGUUGUUUAGACCUCAAGGACGUUGUCGUUAUUUGUUCAAGAAAGUAGAUCUUCGGAUUGAAAAUUGUGAGCUUCAAUCUAGAUAGAAGGGGAUAUUUUGGCUAUCAAGAAAGCACUUCUUGUUGUCUCUCGCCGUCUUGUGCAGGACCAGAGAUGAUUGAGGUUUUGAAAGAAUCUAUUGGAGCAGUGAAGUCGUAUUAGAGCAAUUGAUCGAUAUAAGACUUUUUGUAUGGUUGGUAGCAAAAUUUUGGUUCUAAUGUGCUUAUUUUAGGCUUGUUGGUAGGAAAAUGUGUCUCUGUUUAUUCUAUUUUUAUGUAAACCCUUUACCAAAAAUGCUUAUUAGUCAAUCUUAUUGUACAAAUAUUACAAAGUGUAUAAUAACGUAUGUAUGUUAAUGUGUUGACUGUUUGUUUCCUUAUA